UACAGAGGUGCCAAGCGUUAGGCGGAAUCACUGGGCUUAAAGCGUGUGUAGGCGGAUCGUUAAGUACCUUGUGAAAUCCCACGGCUCAACCGUGGAACUGCUGGGUAUACUGGCGAUCUUGAGCCACCUAGGGGCGAGCGGAACAAGCGGUGGAGCGGUGAAAUGCGUAGAUAUCAUGUGGAACGCCAAUGGUGAAAACAGCUCGCUGGGGGUGUACUGACACUGAGACACGAAAGCCAGGGGAGCGAACGGG
rnacentral:rRNA from 1 species